rnacentral:rRNA from 1 species
UCGGGAAUUUUGGGCAAUGGGCGAAAGCCUGACCCAGCAGCGCCGCGUGAGGGAUGAAGUAUUUCGGUAUGUAAACCUCGAAAGAAUGGGAAGAAUAAAUGACGGUACCAUUUAUAAGCUCCGGCUAACUACGUGCCAGCAGCCGCGGUAAUACGUAGGGAGCAAGCGUUGUUCGGAUUUACUGGGCGUAAAGGGCGCGUAGGCGGCGCGGUAAGUCACUUGUGAAAUCUCUGAGCUUAACUCAGAACGGCCAAGUGAUACUGCUGUGCUAGAGUGCGGAAGAGGCAACCGGAAUUCUUGGUGUAGCGGUGAAAUGCGUAGAUAUCAAGAGGAACACCUGAGGCGAAGGCGGGUUGCUGGGCCGACACUGACGCUGAUGCGCGAAAGCCAGGGGAGCAAACG